rnacentral:rRNA from 1 species
ACAUGAAGCUGGAAUCGCUAGUAAUCGCGGAUCAGAAUGCCGCGGUGAAUACGUUCCCGGGUCUUGUACACACCGCCCGUCACACCAUGGGAGUCGGAAAUGCCCGAAGCCGGUGACUCAACCUUUAAGGAGAGAGCCGUCGAAGGCAGGUCUGAUAACUGGGGGUGAAGUCGUAACAAGGUAGC